GUAGGGACAAGCAUUAUUAACAAUAUUGGUCUGAAAUAAUUUCUGUUGGGUUUAUAGAUUCGGUCUUGUAGCUUAAAUAUGUAUUUAUCUGCAUAAUUUUUUAGAUGAAGCCAUCUAUUCACUAAGGACUCAGGGUUAGACUGCUGCCUAGUUUCCCAGUUUCUGUCUGCUUACUCUCAUAUCCAAGAUGAAUAGUGUGAUCUCUUAGGUGUCCUAAUUUUAUUACUCUGAUGUAGUUAAAUAAUAGUUUAGGAGGGAAAUAAAGAAAGUAUGAAGAUACUCUUAAUAAAGUAUUUUGAAAGGAGCAAAGGCUAGUAAGUUAGCCACUCCUGGGUUCAAAUCGUGGCUCUGCCUGUUAAUAAUCCAUGAGUUCGAGCACGUAACCUAAAUUCUGUGAGUGUUGCCUUUUCCAUAAAAUUUAUUUUCCCCAGAGGCAGGGAUCAAUGAUGUGCUUCAAGCAUCUGGUACCAUGUUUGGCCCAUAAUGCUCAAUAAAUGGCAGUGGGAUACUUGAGACUACCUUAAAUGUAAAUAAUUUUAACAAAUUAUUUUCAGAAGCUAAUAAUUCAGCUAGCAUUUUUUAUAACCAUUAGUAAGACUUUUGUAGUCUAAGUUUAAAUCUUUUCAUACGUUAAUUUAGUAGAUCUUUGAGGUAUAUUUUCUCAAGGGUCGGGUGUUAACAGAGGUGAAAUUGGCUUUUUCAGUCUCAGACUUUUCAGUCUCUGAUAGUGGCUUUAUAUUAAAGUAGCAACCUCUGGACUUUCUAAUUUAGGACAUGGAAAAAGAAAUCAGUAACGCCCUGGGCCAUGGCCCACAGGAUGAGAUCCUAAGUAGUGCUUUCAAAUUGCGCAUCACUCGAGGGGACAUCCAGACCCUGAGGAACUUUCACUGGCUCAAUGAUGAAGUCAUUAAUUUUUACAUGAAUCUUCUCGUG